rnacentral:rRNA from 1 species
ACGGGAGGCAGCAGUGAGGGAUAUUGCACAAUGGGGGAAACCCUGAUGCAGCGACGCCGCGUGAGUGAAGAAGUAUUUCGGUAUGUAAAGCUCUAUCAGCAGGGAAGAAAAUGACGGUACCUGACUAAGAAGCCCUGGCUAACUACGUGCCAGCAGCCGCGGUAAUACGUAGGGGGCAAGCGUUAUCCGGAUUUACUGGGUGUAAAGGGAGCGUAGACGGUAUGGCAAGUCUGGUGUGAAAACCCGGGGCUCAACCCCGGGAUUGCAUUGGAAACUGUCAAACUAGAGUGCAGGAGAGGUAAGUGGAAUUCCUAGUGUAGCGGUGAAAUGCGUAGAUAUUAGGAGGAACACCAGUGGCGAAGGCGGCUUACUGGACCGUAACUGACGUUGAGGCUCGAAAGCGUGGGGAGCAAACAGGAUUAGAUACCCUGGUA